GGUCCUUACAUUAAAACAGAGGUAAAGAGUUCACACAGCUAAAAACUAAAAACAAGUUACUAGUAAGGUAUGUUAAUAGACAAAUAUGUGAUUUUCCAUUACAGUGGCAUUCCCCAAU